GACGUAGGGGGCGAGCGUUGUCCGGAUUCAUUGGGCGUAAAGCGCGCGUAGGCGGCUCGGAAAGUCGGUCGUGAAAUGCCGGGGCUCAACCCCGGGACUGCGUCCGAUACUUCCGGGCUGGAGGUAGGUAGGGGAGAUCGGAAUUCCUGGUGUAGCGGUGAAAUGCGCAGAUAUCAGGAGGAACACCGGUGGCGAAGGCGGAUCUCUGGGCCUUACCUGACGCUGAGGCGCGAAAGCUAGGGGAGCGAACAGG
rnacentral:rRNA from 1 species